UGGGUAACCUGCCCUGUACACACGGAUAACAUACCGAAAGGUAUGCUAAUACGAGAUAAUAUACUUUUAUCGCAUGGUAGAAGUAUCAAAGCUCCGGCGGUACAGGAUGGACCCGCGUCUGAUUAGCUAGUUGGUAAGGUAACGGCUUACCAAGGCGACGAUCAGUAGCCGACCUGAGAGGGUGAUCGGCCACAUUGGAACUGAGACACGGUCCAAACUCCUACGGGAGGCAGCAGUGGGGAAUAUUGCACAAUGGGCGGAAGCCUGAUGCAGCAACGCCGCGUGAGCGAUGAAGGCCUUCGGGUCGUAAAGCUCUGUCCUCAAGGAAGAUAAUGACGGUACUUGAGGAGGAAGCCCCGGCUAACUACGUGCCAGCAGCCGCGGUAAUACGUAGGGGGCUAGCGUUAUCCGGAAUUACUGGGCGUAAAGGGUGCGUAGGUGGUUUCUUAAGUCAGAGGUGAAAGGCUACGGCUCAACCGUAGUAAGCCUUUGAAACUGGGAAACUUGAGUGCAGGAGAGGAGAGUGGAAUUCCUAGUGUAGCGGUGAAAUGCGUAGAUAUUAGGAGGAACACCAGUUGCGAAGGCGGCUCUCUGGACUGUAACUGACACUGAGGCACGAAAGCGUGGGGAGCAAACAGGAUUAGAUAACNUGGUAGUCCACGCCGUAAACGAUGAGUACUAGCUGUCGGAGGUUACCCCCUUCGGUGGCGCAGCUAACGC
rnacentral:rRNA from 1 species